UGGAGGCAGCAGUGAGGAAUAUUGCUCAAUGGGCGAAAGCCUGAAGCAGCAACGCCGCGUGCGCGAUGAAGGUCUUCGGAUCGUAAAGCGCUUUUCUGCGAGAUGAGAAAGGACAGUAUCGUAGGAAUAAGUCUCGGCUAACUACGUGCCAGCAGCCGCGGUAACACGUAGGAGGCGAGCGUUAUCCGGAUUCACUGGGCGUAAAGCGCGUGCAGGCGGUUUGGUAAGUUGGGCGUGAAAGCUCCCGGCUCAACUGGGAGAGGUCGUUCAAUACUACCGAACUAGAGAGUAGAAGAGGAAGAUGGAAUUCCCGGUGUAGUGGUGAAAUGCGUAGAUAUCGGGAGGAACACCAGUGGCGAAGGCGAUCUUCUGGUCUAUCUCUGACGCUCAGACGCGACAGCUAGGGUAGUAAACGGGAUUAGAUACCCCGGUAC
rnacentral:rRNA from 1 species